rnacentral:rRNA from 1 species
UACGUAGGUGGCAAGCGUUAUCCGGAAUUAUUGGGCGUAAAGCGCGCGCAGGCGGUUUCUUAAGUCUGAUGUGAAAGCCCACGGCUCAACCGUGGAGGGUCAUUGGAAACUGGGGAACUUGAGUGCAGAAGAGAAAAGCGGAAUUCCCAGUGUAGCGGUGAAAUGCGUAGAUAUUGGGAGGAACACCAGUGGCGAAGGCGGCUCACUGGACCGGUUCUGACGCCGAGGCGCGAAAGCGUGGGGAGCAAACGGG